GUUCACACUACUGGACACGUUCACGGUGACGUUUGAAAGUGUGAUUGUAAUGUUUUCAAGCCUGUAAACGUGCUUACAUGUUUAUUACUUCUUUACGCAUCGCUGACGACAGUUGAAACGUUUACAUGCAUCGCGUGCAUAAAUCUAUCGACAAGUAAUUGAUGUUUUUGCUCGAUUAUGUUACUCUUUACGAUGCAUUCAUGCUCAAUGGUACAUAAACGAUUCAAUUCAAGAACCAUGGAUAUUCAUCUAGGAAAAUAUUUCACUUUUUUUUUAUGAAGGUAAUAUGUAUUGAGAUUUUUUAACGAUGAUAGAAAUAAAUGAAUAUUAAACAAAAAAGAUUUGAAUAAAUUUAAAAAAUAAUAUAACAAUAAUGAAUUAAAUAAAAAUAAAAUAAUCAAUAAAAAUGAAUGAUAAAUUAAUAAGAUUGAAAAAAUAUAUUUUUAUCUAUUAUAAGAUGAAGAAAAAUAUUGUAUAUUUAAUCUUUGCAUAAUUUCAUAUUAUUAUAAUGAAUCUGUCAAUGCAUUUAUGAAACUCAAAAACAAAAAUAAACCAAAAAAUGAAUAUUCUUACUGAUUAUAAAUAUUUUGAUUUUGAAUUUAUAUUCCAUAUUUUAUUUUAUAUUAAUUUUUUUUAAAAAUUAAUAAAAAUGUGAAGAACUUUCUUCAAGCUCUUCUGAUUGAAAUCUUAGUGACAAAAACUUAAAAAAAAAAAAAGAAAUAUUAACUGAUGAUCAGUUUUCGAGUUAUUUACAAAAAAAAAGUAUUAUAUUAUUUAAUCUAUAUUCUUGUACAUCUAUAUAUUAGUAUGAUACUAUUUAUAAUAAUAAACUUUUUAUUAUAUAAAAGAAAAAGUUAUACUUUACAAUAUAUUUUUCAUUAAAAUCGAAGAAGAAAAAACUAAUUGAAGGAUUUACUAAAUAGCUGUAAUGAAUGGAUAAAAUGAAGUGAAUUAUUAAUGAAUUGCAGAUAGAAUAUCUUAUAGAUAUUAAGGCUAAUGUAGAUAUCAUUAGACAACUUUUAUUAGUGAAGAUUCUUGUAUUAGUAUCUGGAUAAAUAACAUUUAAUGUAUUAGUACCAUUUGUACACGCAACUUUCAAUAUAUAAUACUAAUUUCUUAUUAAUAUUUUAGAAAUUAAUAAAUAUUUUGAGUUAAAAUUUUAGAUGUAAAUUUCCCUUUUAUCUCUCCAAGUUUCAUGUUCAUCGGGAACUUUAUCCAAAGUAAUAAAUAGAACAGCAAGGAUCGUUUGAUAUACUUGAUCCUGAAAUCACCGUAUAACUUUUCUGUUAUUCAACGAAUACGAGUUGACCAGUCGAUAAAUAUCCAACUUUAGAGCAAAUUCCUGGCACCUAGUUAUCUGUGAGUGUGAAAAGCCAAUCUCGAAAGAUUUUUUUUCAAUGGCAUGCCGACCGAAGCAAAGGAUAAGAGAUCACAAAUCGAAAAAGGUUCCAGUUACAGCCGGGAUCAAGGGAAGAAAUUAAAUUUGGAGUUUUAUAAUGCUGCAUAACAUUCCUGAAACGCGAAACGAUACACGUUCGAUGUUGAUUCGAGUGAUAAAGUGAUGAAAAAAAAAAAGAAAGAAAGAAAGAAAGAAAGACCGCCAAAGACCGAACACAGACGUUCAACUUCGUAUUACAAGAGAAUCGAGGCGCCACGAGUAAAUUCCGAAUUUGAGAGGACCACGUGAGAACACGAGACCGUUAACUGGAUUCCGCUAACCGAGUGUAUUUUUUAUCUUUCAGAGAUACAUUUAAGUACCAGCCGACGCAUGCCUCAGAUAAAAUUCACGACAUUGCGAAUAUUACAAAGUACCAAAAACUAUUUUAUCAAUUUAAACAUUCUAGAAAUGUAUAAGAUCGAUUAUAGAUCGUAUUGAGAAUAUCUUGGACAUCAUUAAAUAUACAUAUAUCUAAUUGCACUGAUAAAGCAGGAAGUUUUGAAUAUCCUUCGAAGUUGCAAAUACCGUAUAAAUAUAACUGUGUGACGCUAUGGCCAAAAAUAUCACACGACUGUGUUAAUAUCGCAACCAAACGGCGAUGAAUGUGCACAUGUAUGUAUAUGUACGUAUGUAUGUAUGUAAAUGUCCACGUACGAUGUGAUGAGAACGUUUUCGCGAGGCACAGAGACGGUCGAACGAUCAUCUUGAGUCUCGAAUUAAAAAGCGUCCUGCUAUUCAUAAACUGUGGUUGAUGUGGUUUCAGCCACCCACGAUUUUCUCUGAUCGUAGUAGCCAUUCAUUAUUUCAACGCUAUUCUAGAAAUAAUAAUAAUAGAAGCAAGAUGAACGUUCUCUAACGAUCAAGUAGGAAAUCAAUGUCGAUUCAUGCGUGGGAUUCCUUCGUGUGGGCUGCCUUUCAAACAUUUCCACUUUAAAAACAAACUUUUUCAAUCCAUCCGCUUCGUGAGAAACUUUGAUCAAUCUUUUCUGAUUAUUUUUUAAUGCGUUAAUUAAAUCUAGAAUUAUUAUGAGAUGUCCGUUCUUUUAAUGUGCUGCCAUCUACGUACGUCUGAUUGGCUGUUAGAAAACAAACGAGUAAUGGUAGACAUACUAGCGCAGUAUAUGACUUCAGGUAAAGAAACGACAACGUCUCGUGUGAUUCACGCGACGUGUCUGCCUGACUGCUCACAACGAAGCCCGCGACCUAUCAAUAGCUUCUCAUAUACACUGAAGAGAGACUGUCAUUUCACUGAAGACUAAAAAUAGAGUUCACGCGUUCGUCCACAAGCCAUUGGGACCAAGCAAUUCUGUAUCAGUUUUCUCUCUUUCUUUGGAUCAUACUUUCUUCAUCUAUCUUUUCAUCUUAUAUUUCGAUUCCUUCUUUUUUUUUUUUUCUAAUCACUAUUUGGAUCACAAAUUAGUUAUAUCUCAAACUGUUAAUACAUAUCAUUCAUUCUAAUACAUAAUUUACGCGUAAAAAUAAAAUUUUAUUUUUCCGGAUAUAAAUUUUUUUUUUGUAUAAUUAAUAUUUAAUUAUUAAAAUAUUUAAUUUUUUUUAUUUGACGAAUAAAUUCCACAAUUUUAAAAAUUCAUGGUUGAAAAUUAUGUUUAAACAAAAUCAAUAUUGAUUUUGUUACAAAGCACUCAAAGAACAGGAUUAAUAAAACGAAAAUAAUUUUCAGGCAUUGUAAAUUAAACCAAGUUUAAUUUCAAUAAAUAAAUAUUUAAUUAGCAAUUGAUAUCGUAUUUAGAAUGCACACGAAAAAUUAAAAAUUUGCAUUACUAUAGCUCAUUUGUUUAAUCAUCGACUCAUCUCAAUAUACAUAUGUCAUUAAUAUGUAUUUAAACAUGCAUGAUUUUCGAUCUUAUGCAUUCUUAAGAUUAAAAUUAUGAUUUUUGAAAUGUACUCGUCAAGUUCUACCAAAAUGUCAAAAUUAUAUAAAAAUAUUUUGAUAUUUUUACAUCCAAAGAAUUCCAUAUACAUGAAAUAAUAUGAAUAUAAUUCAUUAAAUCAUUUUUUAAAAAAAAUCAAGUUUUGAAUAUGUCUACAUUUACUUUUGACGCUCAAUCGAAUGAUAUUAAUAAGAGAAAAUUUUCAAAUUUAAUUUGUAAUUAAUGAACAUCACGAUAGACUUAACAAUUUAAUAAUUUUCCAAUAACAAAUUUUUCUAUUUAAAAUUGCAUAAAUGAAUUCAUGUUGAUAAUACAAAAUUAUUUUAUAUAAAAAUAUAAUAAAAAAUAACAUAAUUAUAAAAAAAUUAAGAGAUAUUAAAAUUUUUUGUCACACAGUAAAACUUCAUUUUUGUUAAACAUGAAUAUAAUUCAGUUAAUAAACGCUAUCAAUAUAUGUAUGAAAUAAAUUUAUUCCAAAAAAAUAUUAUUUUUUUAAAUAUUUGAUAUUUGAUAUGUUUUAAGGUAAAUUAUUAAAUUAACAAAAAAGAACGUAAAAAUACAACGUCUGACAUGGUGUAAUAGGCAAAUAUGUUGCCAGUCAAGGACAGAGUUUAUGAAGAUUGGCUAAAUUAAAGUCCAUUGGGACCAGUCCAGUCGUUUUGUUUGAUAUAUAUUCGCGACAGAACUCGUUACUAUGAUAGAGAAUAUUAAUCGAAGGAGUGAGGACUUCGAAUCGUUUUAUAAUUGACCCCAAAUUUACUUUUACAUUCUUAACUCACAAUCAACUGUGCGACAGUCAAGUUAUUAAACCAAUGUUAUUAACCUCGUUACGACUUCGUCAGACUAAUUUUGGAUCCACCAUGGAAACUAUACAUACAUUGCCCUAAUUGUUAACAUCCUUUCGAUGAAUCACGUAAACAUAUUUGCUAUAUUUAAAAAUAAUAUAAUUCCUAAAUUUGUGAAAAUGAUUAAUCAUUUGUGAUUAAAUGUGACCGUUCGUUUGGUAAAUAUAAAUGAAAUAAACAUAUUUUUUCGCAUACACACCUUUCUAUAACUGCUAAUUUAUUUCUUUUUAUAUCCGUUAAUUGGCCACGUGUUUCGACAGAUGUCGCGCUUCAAGUCAGAUUUGUACACGCCAUCUACGUACGGAGUGUUUUCUUUAAUCGAGAACAGUGGAAUAUCUUUAUAUCCAAGGGAUUAAAAUUAUCAAAAAAAUAUUUUAAAAUUAUUUGAUUCGAAGUUAGAUAUCAUUGAUGUAAAUUAUUUUUUUUCUUCUGAAUUUUAACAAUAAGGGGUUGCAAUAUUUAAGUGAAAUCAAUAAUUUUUCGAUAAAUAAAUUGAUAUAUAAAUCGAUUAAUGCAUUCGAAGUUAAUUUAAAGAAACGAAACGAUGGCUUGACUUUAAAAAAGUAAUUUGCAGUUUAUAAUUUUAUCCUUUCGACAAAUAUGUUUUGUUAAAAUAUUUCUUUGAUUUGAAUUCUAACCUCUUAUGAAGUAUUUCAUUAUUCUCAUUUAAAAAAAAACAUGCUGCACAAUGUUUUGUCUUAAUUAAAGUCUCAUAAUAUGAAACAGAUUAAUCUAAAUUGAUAGAAUCAGAUGUGAACUUUGUGUUUUAAUUUGUGCAAUGUAAAUAACUUUGAAUAUUUGGAAAAAAAUUGAAUUCUUAUCUUCGUAAAAAUGCUAACACUUGUUUACAUACUUUGUUAACACGUGCUAUAAACACGAUUUAAAGCGUGAAAGAUGUAUAUAUAAAAUGGUGUAACAAUAUAUUUUAUCAUUUUCUUUUAGUA